ACGCACGCUGGCGGCGUGCUUAACACAUGCAAGUCGAACGGUGAAGCGCCUUCCUUUUUGGUGGGUGUGGAUGAGUGGCGAACGGGUGAGUAACACGUGAGUAACCUGCCCCCUUCUUCUGGAUAACCGCAUGAAAGUGUGGCUAAUACGGGAUAUUCUGGGUCUGUCGCAUGAUGGGUCUGGGAAAGAUAUUGUUUCGGUGGGGGAUGGGCUCGCGGCCUAUCAGCUUGUUGGUGGGGUGAUGGCCUACCAAGGCGGUGACGGGUAGCCGGCCUGAGAGGGUGGACGGUCACACUGGGACUGAGACACGGCCCAGACUCCUACGGGAGGCAGCAGUGGGGAAUACUGCACUAUGGGCGCAAGCCUGAUGCAGCGACGCCGCGUGAGGGAUGGAGGCCUUCGGGUUGUGAACCUCUUUCGCCAGUGAAGCAGGCCUGCCUCGUUUGUGGGUGGGUUGACGGUAGCUGGAUAAGAAGCGCCGGCUAACUACGUG
rnacentral:rRNA from 1 species